UCUAAUAUGGCAGAUUAGUGUAAUGAAUUUAAGCUUCAUUUAUAAAGUUAUUUACUUUUGUUAGAA
rnacentral:tRNA from 1 species